GCGGGAUUAGUACAUCGGUAAUAUAAAAGCUUCCCAAGCUUUGGAGGCGGGUUCGACUCCCGUAUCCCGCU
rnacentral:tRNA from 1 species